rnacentral:lncRNA from 1 species
AAAGACAAAUCCAAUCUCCACCUUUGAAUUCAAAUACGAUCAAUCUAAACCGUCCGUUGUAUUCUCGAUCCCAGCCGUUGAAAUGUAACGCCAGAUUUGAUCUACGCCCAAGAUGUCGCUGUGGCUUUCACGCUAAAUGGAAACGCGUCGCCUCGGUUACCAACAGCCGUCAAUAAUAAUUACUGGCCGCGGCAGCCUUCUAGGGGAAUGGGCGUGGCACCCAACUGUCACCUUGGAAACACGCAACAGUUGUCAAAUCAUUGGACUUCUGGGUCGCCUCGGAUGAUCUCCUCCCCCAACUUUACAAAGCUUAGCCGCAACCGAUGCGAAGGCCCCAGUCGCUAAUCGCCUCGGGCGCUGCGUUCCCUCCAUUGUUUUACGAAGUUCUAGCCAUCUCCCCACGCGUCGACCCUCUUUUCCGCCAACGCUUCGGCGAGAAACGAGUCCCCCAACUUUACAAAGCUUGGACGCACCCGAUGCAAGCGCCCCGUUUGUUAUCGCCUCGGUCGCUGCGCCCCCUCCCAUGCUUUGCAAAGCUCGAGCCGUCCCCCUCUUCCUGACAACGCUUCGAUGAAGACGAGUCCCUAAAAUUUUUAUAAUGCUUUAACGUACCCGACGCGAGCGUAUCAUUGACUCGUCGCCUCGGCUCUGCGUUCUUCCCAUGCUCUACAAAGUUUCAGCUACCCCCAUGCCGCGAUCCGGUCAGGAAAACAAAUCCACGUAUAAUAUAAAUAUUCAUUCUCAUAUUUGAGGGACCACUGUUACGCCUCAUUUUACGAGCCUCGGUACAGACGUACCGAAGUGUCACUCCGAAGCCGGUGAAAUCAAAUAGACCACUCCGACCUCCCGAAGCCUCCCCAAAGUGAUACACCGAUUCCUGUCACUGAUCUGUCGAAGUGUCCUGUCUCCGAGGUCGGGUUCAAGUGGCUUGAACCCCGGUUAGAAGAUUCGCUGCCAAUUUAAGAUUUGCUCUGCAUAUAAGGUUUAAAUUGAUUUGACGUCCCCCAUAAAGCUAUUUGAUGUGACUUAUCAACUUUAUGUCAAUUCAACUCGGGGGAAACAAACUGUCCGCCCACUCUACAAGCGCGGCUGAUUGACGCCUAUGAGCAGACGCUUCAUACCGUCAGAUGUAUACACGUGUUCCACAUCCCACGGUUCACACCACCUAUAAAUACCCAAAGAUUGGCCAGAGGCAAAGGUAAUGAAACUAUCAAUAGAUAGCACUCCAUAACAAGUUUAUAUAUUCUCCUCCCCCUUUAUUGACUGAUUGAUUUUGGUAGUCCCUGGACACUGUUCCGACCACCCAAACCUGACUUGAUCGUCGGAGUGUAUACGGCCGCCACCCCCGUUGGUUCCGGCCGUGUGCGCCUGACAGUUUGUUCAUUUCGUAGGGAGGAAUACGUGGAGUAGCUACAAGUUGGCCACGUGGAAGAGCCAUUUUUAGAGGUCAA